CGCCUCCUCGCGGUAACCGGCGAUCCCCUCGUCCACCGCCAACAGCACCAAACGGUACCGGCCAAACUGGGAGAACCGGGACAGGAAAUGAACCAGAACCGACGAGUCCUUCCCCCCCGACGCGGCCACCGCGAUGACGUCACCGCAACGGGGGACAACGGCGCGGGGAGGGGGGGGGGGCGACCCGAGGGGGGAUGGGGGGGGGACCCCAAUUGGAAUUGGGGGGAUCCCCAGGUUGGGGUUGAUUGGGUAUUGGGGAUAAUGGGAAGACAUUGGGGACCCCCUGAUUGGAAUUGGGGGGGACACCCCAAUUGGAAUUGGGGGGACCCCCAGUUUGGGGCUCAUAGGGGGAUGGGGAUAAUGGGAGGGGAUUGGGGACCCCCUCAUUGGAAUUGGGGGGACAACCAGUUUGGGGUUGAUUGGGUAUUGGG